ACGGCCACACCUAGGCGAAAACACCAGUUCCCGUCCGAUCACUGCAGUUAAGCGUCUGAGGGUCUCGUUAGUACUAUGGUUGGAGACAACAUGGGAAUCCGGGGUGCUGUAGGCU
rnacentral:rRNA from 1 species